ACAAUUUUCGGGGACGGGAAAGAACGACGUUUCAGGCGAAAAUGGUGGGGGUUCUAGAUUUUCAAAAUUAGUGGAGAUUGAGAGAAAGGAUUCAGCCAAAAUUGGUGGAAACAAUGGAGGAGAAUAUGGAGUUCAGAUAAAUGGUAACGUUAAGUUGAUAAGGGCUGCUGGUAUGUUAGAUUCUAAAAGGCCAUUAGGGUUAAUUAAUAUGGGAAAGGCUAAUCAACGGGCUAAGGGUAAAAAAGUGAUUUUGGAAAGUGGGCUGAAAAAAAGGUUUAGGCCUUUAAGACCAUCAGACAAUGACAAAGGUUUUAGGCCCAUGUCUAGUAAUGGAAUCUCUGAUGAUGGGGACAAUAUGGGGCUUAAACUAGCAGUCAACAAUUUGGAGAAUUUUGUUAUUCAAUCCAUAAAUGUCUCGGUUAAAAUGGACAAGAGGAAACACAAGAUGGUUAGAAUAGUUGAAAAUCAAAGUUCAGACUCACUUGACAGGGAAGAGAAUGGAAUUUUUAAUUUUGAGGUAUCAAGCAAGGCUAAUUCGAAUAUGUUUCUGGAGGUUAAUAAUGUAGGGGGUAGGUCACGAGAUACCACCAGAUGAUGGAUUUGGUGGCUUUUUUCAGGAUGUGGUGGAACUGUCAACGGCAAUGGAGGACUUAGUUCGUAAUUUAGAACAAAGAGCCAACAGAGGGUGACAAACUGUCAGGAGAGGAGGUUAUAGAAGACGAGAGCGACUGUUAUGACAAGGUUGAAGCUAAUGGGUUUGCUGGUGGUAUUUGGAUUUGUUGGAAUGAUAAUUUUCUUGUCGACAUGUUGGAUAUUCACUCACAGGUUAUACAUCUGAAGGUCAAUAGUAAACAAGGUUCAGAUAAUAUCUUUUGUUCAGCUGUGUAUGCUAGUCUACAACCAACAAAGCGACGAAAACUUUGGCAACUUUUAGAGUCUUUGGAAUUUUUGUUGCUUAGUCCUUGGAUUUUAGCUAGGGAUUUUAAUUCGAUCAUUGAUAGUUCCGAAAGAACAAGUGGUGCUACUCUAUUAAGGGUUGGAUGUAAGGUUCCAUGAAUUUUUGUUUGAUAAUGGGUUGCGAAAUUUAGGUGCCAUCGGAUAUCAAUUUACUUGGUGUUGAGGAAAUUUAUCUCAGAGGUUGGAUAGAGCUAUUUGUAAUGAAGAGUGGUUUUCCUUUGCACCUGAUUAUUUUGUUUGAAACCUCCAUAGACAAAAAUUUGAUCACAGGCCAAUUCUAGUCUCCUUAUUACUGUCAUUCAACAAAAGUCAUAGGCCAUUUCGUUGUCUUGCCAGUUGGUUGUUACAUGCUAAUUUUAGACAUCUGGUAAGGGAUAGUUGGAGUAAUGAGGGGAUAUUAGUACAAAUUUGGAGCAUUUUCAGAACGUAGUUCAGGAGUGGAAUAAACAAGUAUAUGGAAAUAUUUUUGUGCAUAAGCGAAAGCUGAUUUUUGAGUUAAGUCGGGUACAAAGAAUUUUGGAUUGGAGAAGUUCUUUUGGACUCCGUUGUCGAGAAUUGGCACUUCGUUAAAAAAUAGAGGAAGUUAUAAAGCACAAUGAGUUAUUGUGGUUUCAGAAAUCUCGGUCGAUCUGGCUUAUGAAUGGUGACAAAAAUACGAGCUAUUUUCAUAGUCAAACAUUGACUAGGUGGAGAAAAAAUAGAAUCGAGGGUCUUAUGAUUGAAAAUGAUUGGUGUUUCGAUUACGAGGUGUUGAAGAAUCAUGUUGUUGAUUUUUUUAAAGAUCUUUACACUAUAGACUCUUAGGUUAUUGGUGUCUUUCCAUGUCGUGGUAAAUUUCCCCAAAUCUCUUCUAUUGAGUUGGAUAAUUUAUUAUUGACGGUUUCUGAUGAUGAAGUAAGAAGGGCGGUUUUUGGUAUGGCUCUGUUAAAAUCCCUUGAGGUGGAUGAUUUUCAGGCAAAAUUUUUUUAGUCCCAAUGAGAUGUUGUUGGGCCCUCAGUUUGUUAUCUUGUUAAGUAGGUGUUGGCAUGGCAAGAUAUGGAUCCUAAACUUAACAGGACUUUGCUAAUUUUGUUACCCAAGUCUCAAAGUCCUGAAAGGAUUUCUCAGUUUAGACCAAUAAGCUUAUGCACGAUGAUGUAUAAAAUUAUUACGAAGACUUUAGUUAACAGGUUGAGGUCUCUAAUGGUGAAACUGUCUAGUCAGAAUCAAGCAAGCUUUAUUCUGGGCAGAUAUAUAACUGGUAAUAUAGUGGUUGCGCAAGAAGCAGUGCACUCAAUGAAAGGCUUUCGAGGUACUAAGUAUGGGAUGAUGCUGAAAAUUGAUCUUGAGAAGGCAUAUGAUAGAAUCAGGUGGGACUUUUUCCCUAUUGGAGGUCGAUUUUCCUUCAUUACUAGUCACUGUGAUUUUGAAUAAUGUGUUUACAUCGAUAUUUCAUGUUCUUUGGAAUGGUGCUAUUAUAGAUUCUUUUCAGCCUUCUCGUGGAUUAAGACAAAGCAAUUUGUUAUCUCCUUAUCUUUUCGUUAUUUGCAUGGAAAGACAUGGGCAUAUAAUUGGAGAGUCAGUUGAACAGGGUGUUUGGAAACUACUUUUUCUAUCAAGGAGAGGCUUGACAUUAUCUCACUUAUUUUUUGCAAAUGGUCUUAUUUUGUUCUGUGAGGCUAGUAGAGUUCAGGUGGGUGUUGUUAAUAGUAUUUUGGACACCUUUUGUUACUUCCCGAGUCAAAAGGUGAACAAAAGUAAAUCACAAGUUUUUUUUCCUCUUCUAAUAUGCUUAGAGAUCUUGCUGAGGCUAUUUGUAAUUAUGUGGGGUUUUUCUGUGUAGAUGAUCUAGGUAUCUAUCUUGGAAUGCCAUUGUUCCAUAAUAGAGUUACGACAAGGACUUUUGUUUUUGUACUAGAUAAAGUGAGAAAAAAGUUGUCAGGAUGGGAGGCGAAGAGGCUUUCAUUGGCAAGCUGUUUAACAUUGGUAAGAGCAGAUCUUUUGGCUAUUUCUAACUACUUAAUGUAUACGGUUUGUAUUCCUGUUUCUGUAUGCAGGGAGAUCGAGCAGAUUGCCAGAAAAUUCCUUUGGGGAUUUGGUUCUGAUUCUAGAAAACCUACUUUAGCAUCUUGGGAUAAUUGUUAUCAUCCUAUUGAUGUUGGAGGAUUUGGAUUAAGGAGUUUAGCUGACUAGAAAUAAAAUUUUCCUUUUGAAGUUUGGUUUUCAGCUCCUAUCUAAAACUGAUGCUUUGUGGGUUAAAGUGUUGAGAAACAAAUAUAGUGUACAAGGACUACUGCCAAAUUCUAAUUCCAAAAGCAAUUGUUUGUUCAUUUGGAUAUCGUUGAUGAAGGUUUGGCCUGAAGUUAUAGCUAAUGUUUACUGGUCUAUUAGGAAUGGUUGUUUUACGAACUUUUGAAAUGAUGUGUGGAUUCGACAAGUAGGGCCACUUUGAAUGUUUUAUAAAAGUUCUGGACAACCGGAUGAUACCUUACGAGUAUGUGAAUUGGUUACAGAGAAUGGAAGUUGGGAUUGGUGUCGUCUGAGAUGUCUUGUACCGAAUCACAUUAUCACACAAAUUGCAUCUAUCUUGCCUCAUUCUUCUAAUGCAAGUUAGGGUUGUUUGACAUGGAAAUGGAUGAGGAAAGAUGUAUUUUCCACAGCUGAAACUUAUAGGAAUAUGUUUCACUUCGACAAUAGGGGUGGUUCUGAUGUGUGGAAGAUGAUUUGGAAAGCGAAGACACCUAAGAGGAUAUAGUUUCUUUUAUGGCUUUUGUGGCAUGAUAAACUAUUAACUAAUGGGGAACGAGUGAGGAGACACAUGACAAACGAAGGCAGUUGUCCUAGAUGUAGUUGUGUUAUGGAAACAAGUUUACUUGUGAUUUGGGAUUGCACAUUCUCUAAACCAAUAUGGUUAUCAUCGGUAGUUACAAGGCGAGUGUAGGGUAUUUUUUUCAAUAUUUCUUUCAAGGAGUGGUUCUUAUGGAACAUGAAAAAUUUAGGAAACUAUGGCAACAACGACACAGUUUGGCAAACUCUAUUCUUAAUAAUUUGCUGGUUGAUUUGGAAGGACCGUAAUCUCUUUGUUUUUUCUAAAAGCCAUAGUUGUGUUCAAGCCAUUAAGGAUACAAGUUAUUCUUGGGCGAGGAGUUAUGCUAAGCCAGCAUUGAAAUUGGUUCAACCCAGUCCCAUGCGUACAUUGUUGCACUGGUCUCGACCGGAGAGGGGAUGGAUAAAUGGUGUGGUUUCAACCACUAGUUCUAUUGCAUCUAUUGGAGGUGUACUUAGAGACUCGAAUGCUAAUUGGCAUUGUGGAUUUUCAAUGAUGUUUGAUAAGGAGUUUAUUUUUAAAGUAGAGGAAAAAGUGGUUCUGGAAGGCCUUCUUAUCGCUUGCGGAAAAGGAUUUAGACAUGUCGAGGUUGAACGUGAUAUUGCUUACUAGUGGAUUCACUUCUAUUUGGUGGGGGAGAUAGUAGCGGUUUGGUCGAAUUACAUUUUAUGCAUCAACUCCUAAGAAGAAAGCUGAAAGUAAGAAUCUACCAUAUAUCGAGGACUUGUAAUAGAGUUGUUGAUCAAAUGGCUAAAUACGUUGUAAGAGGAAGUUCAAGUCUGCAGAUAUUUGAAGAUCCCCCGACUGCGGUUCAAAGCUUAUUAAUAGUUUAUCGUGUUGUGUCGAUGUUGGGCUAUGCUUUAAUUGAUUAUUGUUUUCGCUUUAUGUUGUACUUUUCUAUCGAAAAAAAAUAGAGUAAAACUAAGGAAAGUGAGGGAGUACUUUUCAUUUCUUAAUAAAAAUAACUUAUCCAAACAAAGGGAAUCCAGUUUCUCUCACUUUACUUAGCUUUCCCUAAUUCUUUUUUCUAGUCCAAACAUGUUGUAAACUAUUAAUUGUUUAGGAAUAUUUACUUAUAAGUAUUUUGAUAUUAUUUUAUUUUGCCUAGGAUAAUAUAAAAUAUAGUUUUAAAAAACAUUUCAUGUGUAUAAUGAAUCUAGACAAAUGAAUAUUUAGAUUUAUAUGAA